AGUGAACGCUGGCGGUAGGCCUAACACAUGCAAGUCGAACGGCAGCACAGUAAGAGCUUGCUCUUACGGGUGGCGAGUGGCGGACGGGUGAGGAAUACAUCGGAAUCUACUUUUUCGUGGGGGAUAACGUAGGGAAACUUACGCUAAUACCGCAUACGACCUACGGGUGAAAGCAGGGGAUCUUCGGACCUUGCGCGAUUGAAUGAGCCGAUGUCGGAUUAGCUAGUUGGCGGGGUAAAGGCCCACCAAGGCGACGAUCCGUAGCUGGUCUGAGAGGAUGAUCAGCCACACGGGAACUGAGACACAGUCCAGACUCCGACGGGAGGAAGCAGUGGGGAAUAUUGGACAAUGGGCGCAAGCCUGAUCCAGCCAUACCGCGUGGGUGAAGAAGGACUUCGGGUUGGAAAGCCCUUUUGUUGGGAAAGAAAAGCAGCAGGUUAAUACCCCGCUGUUCUGACGGUACCCAAAGAAUAAGCACCGGCUAACUUCGUG
rnacentral:rRNA from 1 species